GCUUCUUCAGGAAGCUGGUUUCAUAUGGUGGUUUAGAUUUAACUACUGAGUGUCUAGCACCAUUUGAAAUCAGUGUUCUUGGAGGA
ensembl:miRNA mdo-mir-29b-1 mdo-mir-29b-1